rnacentral:rRNA from 1 species
CCUACGGGAGGCAGCAGUGGGGAAUAUUGGACAAUGGGGGCAACCCUGAUCCAGCCAUGCCGCGUGUGUGAAGAAGGCCCUCGGGUUGUAAAGCACUUUCAGUGAGGAAGAACGCCUGGUGGUUAAUACCCAUCAGGAAAGACAUCACUCACAGAAGAAGCACCGGCUAACUCCGUGCCAGCAGCCGCGGUAAUACGGAGGGUGCGAGCGUUAAUCGGAAUUACUGGGCGUAAAGCGCGCGUAGGUGGCUUGAUAAGCCGGUUGUGAAAGCCCCGGGCUCAACCUGGGAACGGCAUCCGGAACUGUCAAGCUAGAGUGCAGGAGAGGAAGGUAGAAUUCCCGGUGUAGCGGUGAAAUGCGUAGAGAUCGGGAGGAAUACCAGUGGCGAAGGCGGCCUUCUGGACUGACACUGACACUGAGGUGCGAAAG